AGUGAGCGGGAUGAGCUCAAAUUUAAAAUCUGGCUGGUUUACUAGUCCGAAUUGUAGUUUAUAGAAGCGUUUUCGGUGGCAGCCUGGGUAUAAAUCCUUUGGAAUAGGGUAUCAUAGAGGGUGAGAAUCCCGUCUUUGACUCAGUGCAUGCUACUAUGUGAUACGUUUUCAAAGAGUCGAGUUGUUUGGGAAUGCAGCUCAAAAUGGGUGGUAAAUUUCAUCUAAAGCUAAAUAUUGGCGAGAGACCGAUAGCGAACAAGUACCGUGAGGGAAAGAUGAAAAGAACUUUGAAAAGAGAGUUAAACAGUGCGUGAAAUUGUUGAAAGGGAAACGCUUGACACCAGUCAUGCGAGUGGAAAAUCAGUCUUUUGCAAUGGGGAGUUGUGGGCGUUCAGACCGCAAGGCUGGCGUUUGCUUCAUCUUUGUUGUAAGUGAUGCACUUUUUCAUUUGCAGGUCAACAUCAGUUUGCUUUGCUGGACAAAACCCCAAGGGAAGGUGGCAGCUUAGGCUGUGUUAUAGCCCUGGGGCGAUACAGUGGAGUGGACUGAGGUUUUCGCAGUGUGUGCUCUCUGGGCAAGGCUGACUGGGUGCUAUGGGAUCGUUCGGCGUACAAUGCAUGCAUUUUGCGUCGUGUCUUUUUCAUACUCGCUCAACUCGGCUCUCCACA
rnacentral:rRNA from 2 species